rnacentral:rRNA from 1 species
GUGGGGAAUAUUGGGCAAUGGGCGAAAGCCUGACCCAGCGACGCCGCGUGGGGGAAGAAGUCCCUCGGGAUGUAAACCCUUGUUGUACGGGACGAAGGAAGUGACGGUACCGUACGAGGAAGCCCCGGCAAACUACGUGCCAGCAGCCGCGGUAAUACGUAGGGGGCGAGCGUUGUCCGGAAUCACUGGGCGUAAAGCGCACGUAGGCGGGCUGUUAAGUCGGCCGUGAAAGGCACUGGCUCAACCGGUGUUUGUCGGUCGAUACUGGCAGUCUGGAGUAUGGGAGAGGGAACUGGAAUUCCCGGUGUAGCGGUGAAAUGCGGAGAUAUCGGGAGGAACACCAGUGGCGAAGGCGGGUUCCUGGCCCAUGACUGACGCUGAGGUGCGAAAGCCGGGGGAGCGAACGGGAUUAGAUACCCUGGUAGUCC